UACGUAGGGGGCGAGCGUUGUCCGGAUUUAUUGGGCGUAAAGAGCUCGUAGGCGGCAUGGCAAGUCGGGUGUGAAACCUCCAGGCUCAACCUGGAGACGCCACUCGAUACUGCCAUGGCUAGAGUCCGGUAGGGGACCACGGAAUUCCUGGUGUAGCGGUGAAAUGCGCAGAUAUCAGGAGGAACACCGGUGGCGAAGGCGGUGGUCUGGGCCGGCACUGACGCUGAGGAGCGAAAGCGUGGGGAGCGAACAGG
rnacentral:rRNA from 1 species